ACGGGUGAGUAACACGUAAGGAACCUGCCUCAAGGAUUGGGAUAACUCCGAGAAAUCGGAGCUAAUACCGGAUAGUUCAUCGGACCGCAUGGUCCGUUGAUGAAAGGCGCUUCGGCGUCACCUUGAGAUGGCCUUGCGGUGCAUUAGCUAGUUGGUGGGGUAACGGCCCACCAAGGCGACGAUGCAUAGCCGACCUGAGAGGGUGAUCGGCCACACUGGGACUGAGACACGGCCCAGACUCCUACGGGAGGCAGCAGUAGGGAAUCUUCCACAAUGGACGAAAGUCUGAUGGAGCAACGCCGCGUGAGUGAUGAAGGUUUUCGGAUCGUAAAACUCUGUUGUAAGGGAAGAACACGUACGAGAGGAAAUGCUCGUACCUUGACGGUACCUUACGAGAAAGCCACGGCUAACUACGUGCCAGCAGCCGCGGUAAUACGUAGGUGGCAAGCGUUGUCCGGAAUUAUUGGGCGUAAAGCGCGCGCAGGCGGCCUUUUAAGUCUGAUGUGAAAGCCCCCGGCUCAACCGGGGAGGGCCAUUGGAAACUGGAAGGCUUGAGUACAGAAGAGA
rnacentral:rRNA from 1 species